AACGAACGCUGGCGGCAUGCCUAACACAUGCAAGUCGAACGAAGCCUUCGGGCUUAGUGGCGCACGGGUGCGUAACGCGUGGGAAUCUGCCCUUGGGUUCGGAAUAACAGUUAGAAAUGACUGCUAAUACCGGAUGAUGUCUUAGGACCAAAGAUUUAUCGCCCAAGGAUGAGCCCGCGUAGGAUUAGGUAGUUGGUGGGGUAAUGGCCCACCAAGCCGACGAUCCUUAGCUGGUCCGAGAGGAUGAUCAGCCACACUGGGACUGAGACACGGCCCAGACUCCUACGGGAGGCAGCAGUGGGGAAUAUUGGACAAUGGGCGAAAGCCUGAUCCAGCAAUGCCGCGUGAGUGAUGAAGGCCUUAGGGUUGUAAAGCUCUUUUACCAGGGAUGAUAAUGACAGUACCUGGAGAAUAAGCUCCGGCUAACUCCGUGCCAGCAGCCGCGGUAACAC
rnacentral:rRNA from 1 species